CCUACGGGUGGCAGCAGUAGGGAAUCUUCCACAAUGGGCGCAAGCCUGAUGGAGCAACACCGCGUGAGUGAAGAAGGGUUUCGGCUCGUAAAGCUCUGUUGUUGGAGAAGAACGUUCGCGAGAGUAACUGUUCACGCAGUGACGGUAUCCAACCAGAAAGUCACGGCUAACUACGUGCCAGCAGCCGCGGUAAUACGUAGGUUGCGAGCGUUAUCCGGAUUUAUUGGGCGUAAAGCGAGCGUAGGCGGUUGGUUAGGUCUGAUGUGAAAGCCUUGGGCUUAACCGAAGAAGUGCAUCUGAAACCGGGCGACUUGAGUGCAGGAGAGGACAGUGGAACUCCAGGUGUAGCAGUGGAAUGCGUAGAUAUAUGGAGGAACACCAGUGGCGAAGGCGGCUGUCUGGUCCGCAACUGACGCUGAGGCGCGAAAGCAUGGGUAGCGAACAGGAUUAGAUACCCCUGUAGUC
rnacentral:rRNA from 1 species